GACGAACGCUGGCGGCGUGCUUAACACAUGCAAGUCGAACGCAUCCUUCGGGGUGAGUGGCAGACGGGUGAGUAACGCGUGGGAACGUGCCCUUCAGUUCGGGAUAACCCAGGGAAACUUGGGCUAAUACCGGAUACGUGCGAGAGCAGAAAGAUUUAUCGCUGAAGGAUCGGCCCGCGUAUGAUUAGCUAGUUGGUGGGGUAAUGGCCCACCAAGGCGACGAUCAGUAGCUGGUCUGAGAGGAUGAUCAGCCACAUUGGGACUGAGACACGGCCCAAACUCCUAGGGGAGGCAGCAGUGGGGAAUAUUGGAAAAUGGGCGCAAGCCUAAUCCAGCCAUGCCGCGUGAGUAAUGAAGGCCUUAGGGUUGUAGAGCUCUUUCGUCCGGGACGAUAAUGACGGUACCGGAAGAAGAAGCCCCGGCUAACUUCGUGCCAGCAGCCGCCGUAA
rnacentral:rRNA from 1 species